CACGUAGGGUGCGAGCGUUGUCCGGAAUUCUUGGGCGUAAAGAGCUCGUAGGCGGUGUGUCGCGUCGGCCGUGAAAACCUGCAGCUCAACUGUGGGCUUGCGGUCGAUACGGGCAUCACUGGAGUUCGGCAGGGGAGACUGGAAUUCCUGGUGUAGCGGUGGAAUGCGCAGAUAUCAGGAGGAACACCGAUGGCGAAGGCAGGUCUCUGGGCCACUACUGACGCUGAGAAGCGAAAGCAUGGGGAGCGAACAGG
rnacentral:rRNA from 1 species